ensembl:snRNA U6 U6 spliceosomal RNA
GUGCUCGCACAUAUACUAAAAUAGGGACGAUACAGAGAUUAGCAUGGCCCCUGUGCAAGGAUGGUGUGUAAUUUCAUGAAGCGUUCCAAACUUUU